AGACCCGAAACCCGGUGAUCUAGCCAUGGGCAGGUUGAAGGUUGGGUAACACUAACUGGAGGACCGAACCGACUAAUGUUGAAAAAUUAGCGGAUGACCUGUGGCUGGGGGUGAAAGGCCAAUCAAACCGGGAGAUAGCUGGUUCUCCCCGAAAGCUAUUUAGGUAGCGCCUCGUGAAUUCAUCUCCGGGGGUAGAGCACUGUUUCGGCUAGGGGGCCAUCCCGGCUUACCAACCCGAUGCAAACUGCGAAUACCGGAGAAUGUUAUCACGGGAGACACACGGCGGGUGCUAACGUCCGUCGUGAAGAGGGAAACAACCCAGACCGCCAGCUAAGGUCCCAAAGUCAUGGUUAAGUGGGAAACGAUGUGGGAAGGCCCAGACAGCCAGGAUGUUGGCUUAGAAGCAGCCAUCAUUUAAAGAAAGCGUAAUAGCUCACUGGUCGAGUCGGCCUGCGCGGAAGAUGUAACGGGGCUAAACCAUGCACCGAAGCUGCGGCAGCGACACUCAGGUGUUGUUGGGUAGGGGAGCGUUCUGUAAGCCUGUGAAGGUGGCCUGUGAGGGUUGCUGGAGGUAUCAGAAGUGCGAAUGCUGACAUAAGUAACGAUAAAGCGGGUGAAAAGCCCGCUCGCCGGAAGACCAAGGGUUCCUGUCCAACGUUAAUCGGG
rnacentral:rRNA from 1 species